GCCUCGCAAAGUGUUGGGAUUAGAGGUGUGUGAGCCACUGCAUCUGACCACUAACAUUACCAUUUCCUUUUUGUAGUUCAACGUAUUUUGUGAGAAGAUACGUUGAGACUUUGUAAAUAUCUUGUUACUCCUCAAAACCUACUAGAUUUAGCAUUUCAUUGGUGAUUUGUGUUUGAACAAUUAUUACUAUGAUGCUUGCCAAAAGAUUAUUUUCUGAUUCUCUUUUUUGUUCCCCAUGGAAAAAUAAAACCAAUAAAUAAGGGAGAAGGAAAAGCUUAUGAUUUUGGUGCUCAGAUGCCCCAAGACUAGGCCAGUGGUAGACAUUUCAAGCUGACUUUAUGUCUUUUUAAUUUGGCCCUUUUACUCUGUGAGUACUUUUUUACUUUCUGGCACAUGAUGUUACAAGCUAAUCUUGUAUUUUCUCUCCCCUAGCCCUGGAGUGAGUUUCUUAGAAGCAGAGGUGGAGCCACCAAGGAAUCGCAUGACCAGCCCUCCCCAGCACACACUCACUGGUCUCCAACAGAAAGAACCACUGCCGCAUCCACUGAGAUCAUCCCCAGAACUACCCAGGACAACUCCAUCAGUGCUCUGACACCAGGCCUAGUCCAACUCCAUGGUAAUCAAGACGAAGAUCCAGAGACAAACCCCUAGCUUGGUGCCUGCAUCUGACCACCCUUGGUGGGUAGUGACCAGCCCAACAUGGAAGAAGCCACGGAAGCACAUAGCCAGCUGCCCUGCAGCCCCAGGGGCUCGUGGGCCUUGGGAAGUCAUUCUCAAAGAGGAAACUGGUCACUUUGAGGUCCCUGAAUGGAAGGGUGAACACAGCAUUCUUACAACCCUGGCAGCCAGCAGCAGGCCAUACAUCUUCCCACCCCACCUGUAGGACAGAAGUCCCCUCCUGGGGCACAAGUCCUGUACCUAAAGAGUGCUGGCCCAGUUGGGCUUCAUACUAAACCUGGGGAAAGGAGGGGUUGCAAGCUCCUCAGGCAGCAACCAGGAUUACCACACAUAGGAUUCAGCCUUCUGUGGCCCUGGCCAGAUUUUUUGCCCCAAGAGAGAACAAGCUCACUCAAAGUGGCGUAUCGGUACCCAGGGCCUGUGCAUGCCAGGCAAGGCAAAGCUGGCUGAAAGAGCAAUCAUCCACCUCCGCAAGGGUAUGCCAGGAACAAGUGGGCCAGCCACCAACCUCACCCACUCAAGGAGGCAGGGAUGGUUAGGUUCCCGCAGCCUGAGUGGCUGCCACCUGACAGCUUAUGGAGUGGAGACCUGAAAAAAAGCAGAUGGUACUGGGCUCUACCUCUAGGGUAGAAUAACUGAUUUACCCUGACUGGCAGCGAGUGAGGUUGGGGGCUGGUCCACUGGUUCCAGGCACAUCCUUGCAGAGGUGACUGGUUGCUCUUUGACCCAGCUUGGUCUUGCCCAGCAUGCACAGACCUUAGUACAACAACUGUGCCACAAAUAGAGUCACAUCGAGGAAAUGAGCAGCAAGGUCAGGAGCAGGGUAUGUGCUGCCUUUGUGGUUCCAGUCCAUGCAUCAGGGAUCGUAUGGCACUGAGGGCUUCUUGGGUGCCAAGAGGCAGGUCACAGGCCAUCCUGAGGAGGACUUUAUGUUCAAGUGCAGAAAGGACCCAAUCUGGUGGACGAACCACAUGGCCAGUUUCUGCAUGUGGGCACAGUGCCACGUCUUCCGCCACUUCAUGAUGUGUCUUACCAGCACUGCAGAGACAGCCUGGAGACAGUGCAAGAGGAAGGCUGACAAGGAUGAGAUAAUGAGUUCCAGCUGCUUUCUGACCCUGAGCUCACCCCAGGUAGGAGUUCUCAUUGUUUAGGAGUGGGAGAGCAAGAUUGAUGGCUUUGAGUGCUUCACCGAGAAGUUGGACAGCAGGGCACUCAGCUCAACUUCACAGCCAAUGAGUUGGUGACAGGCUUCAAGACUGUGACAGGCUUUAAGAAGGAGCAUCAGAAGGUGGCCAAUUAUUCUUCAGCCUCAGCCAGGUCUUGGAGCUGGAACAGGCUCCCACUUCACCAGAGAUGCCUGCAACACCAUCAGAGAGCUCUUUGCCAAUCAGCCGAGGCAGGGCCUGGACCCACUCAUGGAUGUGUUAGUGCUGCUCAGGGCCACCAAACCAACAUCCUGGACAUCAUCCACAUACACAAGGAAGCUCUUACCAAUGACACGAUGAGCAGACAACGUGGCAGAAAGGAAGACAGAGGUGCAGAGGCCGAUGACAUCAGGAUCACAGGAACAGGAUUUCUUUGGCCACUUUGAUUGAAAUUCAACACUUCCAUCCAAUUUAAGUGAGAAACUUAAAAUCACAGAUGCAGCAUUUCUUGCAACAAGAGAUACUGUUUUUUAAAAAAGUCACCUAGGAAUUGAUAGUGUUGAAUGACUAGAUAUUUGAUGGUGGACUUUUUCUAGUUUAAGGACACCUUCUACAGCAGAAUAAUAACAGUAUCCAAGAGCUAGUGCCAGGUAUCAAUGGUAGUACAAGGAUGGUUUUAUGCUCAACUGAAACCAAGCUGAAUAUAGAAUUGUGUAGGAAACAGUUAAUAUGGUGAUAGAAUACAAACAGUACCAAACUAACUAAAUCAUACUGUGAAUGCCCACACGACCAUUGUAAUAUUGGAAGAAUAAUAAUACCAUUUGUUUUAUUGCUUUUAAGUAUAACUAUUUUAGUGUAUAUGCUGUAGACCUCAAACCCUGUAAAUAGUCUCAAA